rnacentral:rRNA from 1 species
AUGGCCAAGGCGGCGCUCUGCAUGAUGCUCGCGCUUGCUCUGACGAGCUGCGCAUUCGCCGGCCGCGUCCUCAACGAGCAUCCUGCCGCGCCUCCGGUAGAGGCCGAUCCGUUGCCGGGGCCGACCGAGCCGCCUGUCGACACAGUGGUAGUGCCGGUGCCCGCGGCGGCGUCGCCUUUGCCAUCCGAUGCCGCGGGCGCCGCAGGAGUAGCUCCGGCCGCGGGUGCUGGUGCAACGGCCAACCUAGGAGCCGGUGUGGCUGCAGGCGCCGGCGACAGCCCGCUGACGUUCUUCAUGCACGACAUCCUCGGCAGCUCGUCGCAGCCGUCAGCGCUCAUGGUGACCGGGGUGGUGGCGAGCGCCGACGACCUGGCCAGCAGCAACAACGUCGUCCCCUACGACAGCCUCGUCCAGAGCAAUGGCAACGCCGUCAACGGCGGCUACAAGAACACCAUCCCCUCCGUCGGCAGGGCGCAGGGGUUCUACGUCGCGAGCUCGCAGGACGGCAGCAGCAAGACGGUCGUGCUGACGGCCCUGUUCGGCGGCGAAGCGCACGGCGACACGCUCAGCUUCUUCGGGGUGCACCGGACGGGGGCGCAAGAGUCCCGCAUCGCCGUCAUCGGCGGCACAGGGAAGUACGAGACCGCCAAGGGCUUCGCCGCCAUCCGCACACUGCACCCCGGCGACCAGCACGCCACCGACGGCGUCGACAGCCUCCUCCAGUUCGAUAUUCACCUCUCCUGA